rnacentral:rRNA from 1 species
ACGGGUGAGUAACACGCAGGUAUCUAUCUUGUAGACCGGGAUAGCGCCGAGAAAUCGGAGGUAAUACCGGAUGUGUCCUGAUAUUUAUCGGGAUAAAGGUGGCCUCUGCUUGCAAGCUGCCGCUAUGAGGUGAGCCUACGGCCUAUUAGCUAGUUGGUAGGGUAAAAGCCUACCAAGGCGAUGAUAGGUAGCCGGCCUUAACGGGUGGUCGGCCACACUGGGAUUGAGAUACGGCCCAGACUCCUACGGGAGGCAGCAGUCGAGAAUCGUCCGCAAUGGGGGAAACCCUGACAGUGCGACGCCGUGUGCAUGAAGAAGUCCUUCGGGAUGUAAAAUGCUUUUCUGUGAGAGCAAAACUUUGUAGGUGAAUAGCUUGCAGAGUCUGAUAGUAUCACAGGAAUAAGUCCCGGCUAAUUCCGUGCCAGCAGCCGCGGUAAGACGGAAGGGGCAAGCGUUGUCCGGAAUCACUAGGCGUAAAGGGCUAGUAGGCGGCUAGCUAAGUUAUAUGUUAAAUCCCACGGCUCAACUGUGGAAUCGCAUAUAAUACUGGCUGGCUUGAGUACUGCAGAGGAAGGCGGAAUUCCUGGAGUAGCGGUGAAAUGCGCAGAUAUCAGGAAGAACGCCAAAUGCGAAGGCAGCCUUCUGGGCAGUUACUGACGCUGAAUAGCGAAGGUGUGGGGAGCGAACAGGAUUAGAGACCCUGGUAGUCCACACAGUAAACGAUGAUCACUAGGUGUUGGUAUCAUCUAAAGGUAUCAGUACCGUAGCUAACGCGUUAAGUGAUCCGCCUGGGGAGUACGUCCGCAAGGAUGAAACUCAAAGGAAUUGACGGGGGCCCGCACAAGCGGUGGAGCACGUUGUUUAAUUCGAUGCAACGCGAAGAACCUUACCUGGACUUGACUUCCGUGAAAUCCCCAAGAGAUUGGGGAGUGCCCCGAGUUUUCGGGGAAUCACGAGACAGGUGCUGCAUGGCUGUCGUCAGCUCGUGUCGUGAGAUGUUGGGUUAAGUCCCGCAACGAGCGCAACCCCUACCCUUAGUUGCCAAUAUUCAGUUAGGGACUCUAAGGGGACUGCCAAGGUUACAACUUGGAGGAAGGUGGGGAUGACGUCAAGUCCUCAUGGUCCUUAUGUCCAGGGCUACAAACGUGCUACAAUGGUUGGUACAAUGGGAAGCAAGACCGCGAGGUGGAGCUAAUCCCUCAAAACCUACCUCAGUUCGGAUUGGGGUCUGCAACUCGA